GGCUGAGGAAGAACAAAGACGGAAUUUAGAAGAGCCUUUCCACAGGCUGAGAUGAAGACCUCAAAGGAAAGAGGUAUCUGGUAUAGAAUGCACAGUCCAGCUUUCUGGAGAGCAUCCAGACCACGCGAUACUAGAGCAGCCUGCUCCCAAAUCAAAGGAAAGCUUGUUGGAGGGCGAAGGCUGCAGCUGAGCCAUGAGGAUUCAGAGUGGGUAGCCAUUCUAGCUUUGAUCUGGAAGUUCCAACCCCCAUUGAGGCUUCGGUAACUGUCAUGCCUACAAGGCGGGCUGAGAGAGGACCCUGAAGACGCAAGAUCCAGAUGCACUGGCUCUCUUGGUUCCUGGACCCUGGACGCUGGAGAUAGACUGAGCAGAGUUCUCCAGAGAACACUGCCGGACUGUGCUACACCUUUCCCAGACCCUGUUACCUAUCUCUUCACUUGUGAGUUAACCCACAAAAUAAAUCUCCCUUUUAACUA